rnacentral:rRNA from 1 species
AUGAACGCUAGCUACAGGCUUAACACAUGCAAGUCGAGGGGCAGCGAAUGACGGUGCUUGCACCAUCAUGUCGGCGACCGGCGCACGGGUGAGUAACGCGUAUCCAACCUUCCCAUGUCUGGGAGAGAGAACCUUGCGAAAGUAAGACUAAUGUCCCAUAACGUUGAAAGCAGACAUCUAAAUUCAACCAAAGAUUUAUCGGACAUGGAUGGGGAUGCGUCUGAUUAGGUAGACGGCGGGGUAACGGCCCACCGUGCCUACGAUCAGUAGGGGUUCUGAGAGGAAGGUCCCCCACAUUGGAACUGAGACACGGUCCAAACUCCUACGGGAGGCAGCAGUGAGGAAUAUUGGUCAAUGGGCGGAAGCCUGAACCAGCCAAGUAGCGUGCAGGAUGACGGCCCUAUGGGUUGUAAACUGCUUUUAUAUGGGGAUAAAGUGAGCCACGUGUGGCUUAUUGCAGGUACCAUAUGAAUAAGGACCGGCUAAUUCCGUGCCAGCAGCCGCGGUAAUACGGAAGGUCCGGGCGUUAUCCGGAUUUAUUGGGUUUAAAGGGAGCGUAGGCCGGGUUUUAAGCGUGUUGUGAAAUGUAGACGCUCAACGUCUGAAUUGCAGCGCGAACUGGAGCCCUUGAGUGCGCUGGAAGUAGGCGGAAUUCGUGGUGUAGCGGUGAAAUGCUUAGAUAUCACGAAGAACUCCGAUUGCGAAGGCAGCUUACUGUUGCGUUACUGACGCUGAAGCUCGAAAGUGUGGGUAUCGAACAGGAUUAGAUACCCUGGUAGUCCACACGGUAAACGAUGGAUACUCGCCGUUCGCCCACUUGAGGGUGAGUGGCCAAGUGAAAACGUUAAGUAUCCCACCUGGGGAGUACGCCGGCAACGGUGAAACUCAAAGGAAUUGACGGGGGCCCGCACAAGCGGAGGAACAUGUGGUUUAAUUCGAUGAUACGCGAGGAACCUUACCCGGGCUUGAACUGCCGGCGAACGAUACAGAGAUGUUGAGGCCCUUCGGGGCGCCGGUGGAGGUGCUGCAUGGUUGUCGUCAGCUCCUGCCGUGAGGUGUCGGCUUAAGUGCCAUAACGAGCGCAACCCCUGUCCUUAGUUGCCAUCAGUUAAAGCUGGGCACUCUGAGGAUACUGCCACCGCAAGGUGUGAGGAAGGUGGGGAUGACGUCAAAUCAGCACGGCCCUUACGUCCGGGGCUACACACGUGUUACAAUGGGGGGUACAGAGUGUCGGCCCACCGCAAAUUGCUUCUAAUCAAUAAAGCCCUCCUCAGUUCGGACUGGGGUCUGCAACCCGACC